rnacentral:rRNA from 1 species
CUGACUGCUAUCGGAUUGAUACUAAGCCAUGCGAGUCAUUGUAGCAAUACAAGGCAGACGGCUCAGUAACGCGUAGCCAACCUAACCUAUGGACGGGAAUAACCUCGGGAAACUGAGAAUAAUGCCCGAUAGAACACUAUAUCUGGAAUGGUUUGUGUUCCAAAUGAUUUAUCGCCGUAGGAUGGGACUGCGGCCUAUCAGUUUGUUGGUGAGGUAAUGGCCCACCAAGACUAUUACAGGUACGGGCUCUGAGAGGAGUAGCCCGGAGAUGGGUACUGAGACGCGGACCCAGGCCCUAUGGGGCGCAGCAGGCGAGAAAACUUUGCAAUGUGCGAAAGCACGACAAGGUUAAUCCGAGUGGUUUGUGCUAAACAGACCUUUUGUUAGUCCUGGAAACACUAACGAAUAAGGGGUGGGCAAGUUCUGGUGUCAGCCGCCGCGGUAAAACCAGCACCUCAAGUGGUCAGGAUGAUUAUUGGGCCUAAAGCAUCCGUAGCCGGCUCUGUAAGUUUUCGGUUAAAUCUGUAUGCUCAACAUACAGGCUGCCGGGAAUACUGCAGAGCUAGGGAGUGGGAGAGGUAGACGGUACUCGGUAGGAAGGGGUAAAAUCCUUUGAUCUAUUGAUGACCACCUGUGGCGAAGGCGGUCUACCAGAACACGUCCGACGGUGAGGGAUGAAAGCUGGGGGAGCAAACCGGAUUAGAUACCCGGGUAGUCCCAGCUGUAAACUAUGCAAACUCAGUGAUGCAUUGGCUUGUGGCCAAUGCAGUGCUGCAGGGAAGCCGUUAAGUUUGCCGCCUGGGAAGUACGUACGCAAGUAUGAAACUUAAAGGAAUUGGCGGGGGAGCACCACAAGGGGUGAAGCCUGCGGUUCAAUUGGAGUCAACGCCGGA